rnacentral:rRNA from 1 species
UACGAACCGAGCGAACGUUGUUCGGAAUCACUGGGCUUAAAGGGCGCGUAGGCGGGCUGUCAAGUCUGGGGUGAAAUCCCGCGGCUCAACCGUGGAACUGCCUCAGAUACUGACGGUCUCGAGGGGGAUAGGGGCGAGCGGAACUGUGAGUGGAGCGGUGAAAUGCGUUGAUAUUCACAGGAACUCCGGUGGCGAAGGCGGCUCGCUGGAUCUCUUCUGACGCUGAGGCGCGAAAGCUAGGGGAGCAAACGGG